GGAGGGUACAGCUCAGUGGUAGAGUGCAUGCUUAGCAUGCAUGAGGUCCUGGGUUCAAUUCCCAGUACCCCCA
rnacentral:tRNA from 1 species